AUUGAACGCUGGCGGCAUGCCUUACACAUGCAAGUCGAACGGCAGCACGGGAGCAAUCCUGGUGGCGAGUGGCGAACGGGUGAGUAAUAUAUCGGAACGUGCCCAGUCGUGGGGGAUAACGUAGCGAAAGCUACGCUAAUACCGCAUACGAUCUAUGGAUGAAAGCGGGGGAUCGCAAGACCUUGCGCGAUUGGAGCGGCCGAUAUCAGAUUAGGUAGUUGGUGGGGUAAAGGCUCACCAAGCCGACGAUCUGUAGCUGGUCUGAGAGGACGACCAGCCACACUGGGACUGAGACACGGCCCAGACUCCUACGGGAGGCAGCAGUGGGGAAUUUUGGACAAUGGGCGCAAGCCUGAUCCAGCAAUGCCGCGUGCAGGAUGAAGGCCUUCGGGUUGUAAACUGCUUUUGUACGGAGCGAAAAGGCUCUCUCUAAUACAGGGGGCUCAUGACGGUACCGUAAGAAUAAGCACCGGCUAACUACGUGCCAGCCGCCGCGGUAAUAC
rnacentral:rRNA from 1 species